GUAGGUGUAGUUUAACAAAAUGUUAGAUUGUGAUUCUAAAGACGGGGGUUACACUCCCCUCACCCACC
rnacentral:tRNA from 1 species